CCUGUCGCUUAGUGACCACAGCAAAGACAAAGAUGGAGAGACCGAGGGCAGUGAGGCCCCAGUCAGAGAUUGUUCAUCUCCUAGCCUGCAGAGGACCCCAACCCACACGUCUCUCUCUCCUCCCUAGC